UACGAAGGGGGCUAGCGUUGCUCGGAAUCACUGGGCGUAAAGCGCACGUAGGCGGACUCUUAAGUCGGUGGUGAAAUCCUGGAGCUCAACUCCAGAACUGCCUUCGAUACUGGGAGUCUCGAGUUCGGGAGAGGUGAGUGGAACUGCGAGUGUAGAGGUGAAAUUCGUAGAUAUUCGUAAGAACACCAGUGGCGAAGGCGGCUCACUGGCCCGAUACUGACGCUGAGGUGCGAAAGCGUGGGGAGCAAACAGG
rnacentral:rRNA from 1 species